UGGGGAAUUUUGGACAAUGGGGGCAACCCUGAUCCAGCCAUCCCGCGUGUGCGAUGAAGGCCUUCGGGUUGUAAAGCACUUUUGGCAGGGAAGAAACAGCCUGGGAUAAUACCCCGGGCGACUGACGGUACCUGCAGAAUAAGCACCGGCUAACUACGUGCCAGCAGCCGCGGUAAUACGUAGGGUGCAAGCGUUAAUCGGAAUUACUGGGCGUAAAGCGUGCGCAGGCGGUUCGGAAAGAAAGGUGUGAAAUCCCAGGGCUUAACCUUGGAACUGCACUUUUAACUACCGAGCUAGAGUACGUCAGAGGGGGGUAGAAUUCCACGUGUAGCAGUGAAACGCGUAGAGAUGUGGAGGAAUACCGAUGGCGAAGGCAGCCCCCUGGGAUGAUACUGACGCUCAUGCACGAAAGCGUGGGGAGCAAACAGGAUUAGAUACCCUGGUAGUCCACGCCCUAAACGAUGUCAACUAGCUGUUGGGGUUUAUUAACCUUAGUAGCGCAGCUAACGCGUGAAGUUGACCGCCUGGGGAGUACGGUCGCAAGAUUAAAAC
rnacentral:rRNA from 1 species